rnacentral:rRNA from 1 species
GACGAACGCUGGCGGCGUGCCUAAUACAUGCAAGUAGAACGCAGUUGCGAACGGGUAAGUAACGCGUAGGUAACUGCUUCAUGGCGGGGGAUAACUAUUGGAAAAGAUAGCUAAUACCGCAUACUGUGUGAUGGACAUGCGUUGUAUUAGCUAGUUGGUGAGGUAAAGGGUCACCAAGGCGACGAUACAUAGCCUACCUGAUCGGGUGAUCGGCCACACUUGGACUGAGACACGGCCCAGACUCCUACGGGAGGCAGCAGUAGGGAAGCUUCGGCAAUGGACGGAAGUCUGACCGAGCAACGCCGCGUGAGUGAAGAAGGUUUUCGGAUCGUAAAGCUCUGUUGUUAGAGAAGCGUUAACUAACCAGAAAGGGACGGCUAACUACGUGCCAGCAGCCGCGGUAAUUC